rnacentral:rRNA from 1 species
GACGAACGCUGGCGGCGUGCUUAACACAUGCAAGUCGAACGGAAAGGCCCUGCUUUUGUGGGGUGCUCGAGUGGCGAACGGGUGAGUAACACGUGAGUAACCUGCCCUUGACUUUGGGAUAACUUCAGGAAACUGGGGCUAAUAUCGGAUAGGAGCUCCUGUUGCAUGGUGGGGGUUGGAAAGUUUCGGCGGUUGGGGAUGGACUCGCGGCUUAUCAGCUUGUUGGUGGGGUAGUGGCUUACCAAGGCUUUGACGGGUAGCCGGCCUGAGAGGGUGACCGGCCACAUUGGGACUGAGAUACGGCCCAGACUCCUACGGGAGGCAGCAGUGGGGAAUAUUGCACAAUGGGCGGAAGCCUGAUGCAGCAGCGCCGCGUGCGGGAUGACGGCCUUCGGGUUGUAAACCGCUUUCGCCUGUGACGAAGCGUGAGUGACGGUAAUGGGUAAAGAAGCACCGGCUAACUACGUG